CCUUCUCCCUCCUUCAUACGCUGCAUCCGCACUCGAGAACGUCAAGCUCUUUCCCAUUUCAGAACACUCCUCCCAACUGCUCCCUCCCUUUCUUCCAGCACGCAAAGUCUUCCUGGGUGAGCGGUUUCAUUCUACUUCUGGAAUUUGUGAGAGGAAGAGAACCUGGAGGAAUAAGCUACUGGAGCUGUGAGCUAUCCUGGGGACCACAGAAUCCAUCCCCUCCCUUAUACUUUGAGGCAAAGACCCCCAAGAGCUACUGUGGCCUGACUGAGGUGUUUCAGCUACAUGACCACCUGCCAGAAAUGCUGUAGAAGAAAUGCUACAAAUUGGGUACCGUAGAAGACGGCAAAAACAGCUGCACUUAUUCUCUUCCUUUUUUACGGGGUCACAACAUCCUCACACAAGUCCAGCAGCACAACCAUGCAGCUGGAUUCGUGUUUUCACCAGCAAAGAACUGACGGUUUUUGAAAUUAGUGAGGAGGGGCUUGAUUUGUUCCGUAGCCCCUGCCAUGAAAGGCUUUACUCUUCUGGUCUCUAUACUUCAGGUUUCCGUCAUCUUUAAUGUACUUCUUGUAAGCUCCUUUUGUGAAGCUUGUUUCCUGCAAGUGAUGCUUCAUGACAGUAUGGACACCAGUGAUUACUGUGCUUUAGGUACCUUCGCCCCCUUCAGUGGAGCCAUUUCCAUCAAUGAGCCGAGCCAUCAGUGUUACCCUCUGUGCUACGACCAGCUUCCCCUCCACUUCCAGACACAGCCCAUCAGCGACCUCCUAGAUCUCGUAGAUGUUGGAGAACAUCCCAUCAUGCCUGACGGGGUCCCGGUAGGUGACCAUGAUGGCCACUGCCCCGCUAGCUUAGCAGGAGCCCGAGCUCCGAGUGAGCCUGGUGUAGCUCAAGCAGGUGGGGGAAGCGGGGAAUGUGUGGAAAGCAGAAAUGUUUUAUUAUUGAACUGAUUUGACAGAUAUAGAAAACGAGGCCAGAGAACUGACACCUACCUAAGGUACAGAGUGAGUAAAUGUCCAGCCUAGGUUUUGAACUCAGGAAGCACAAAGCUACAGCCCUAGGUCUUAGCCACACUCCUCUGCUUCUUGCUAUUGGAUGUAAAGUAGAUGAUUGUCUGCAGGAACUAAAAAUAUCUUCACAAAACCUGGUAGUUGUAAAU
ensembl:lncRNA